GGCGCGGUGGCAGAGCGGUUGAUUGCACCGGUCUUGAAAACCGGCGGCCCCGCAAGGGGCUCGUGAGUUCGAAUCUCACCCGCGCCG
rnacentral:tRNA from 1 species